rnacentral:rRNA from 2 species
AAGUCGGAAUCGCUAGUAAUCGUAGAUCAGAAUGCUACGGUGAAUACGUUCCCGGGCCUUGUACACACCGCCCGUCACACCAUGGGAGUGGGUUGCAAAAGAAGUAGGUAGCUUAACCUUCGGGAGGGCGCUUACCACUUUGUGAUUCAUGACUGGGGUGAAGUCGUAACAAGGUAACCGUAGGGGAACCUGCGGUUGGAUCACCUCCUUACCUUAAAGAA